AUUGAACGCUGGCGGCAUGCCUAACACAUGCAAGUCGAGCGGGUUAAGGUAGCUUGCUCCUGGGUUCAGCGACGGACGGUGGAGUAAGGCCUAGGAAUCGGCCUGCUAGUGGGGGAUAACGUCCGCAAACGGGCGGUAAUACCGCAUCCGUCCUGAUAGAGAAAGAGGUGGUUCUUCGGACUUCACUCUAUCAGAUAAGCCUAGGGCGGAUUAGUUAGUUGGUGGCGUAAAGGCCUACCAAGGCGACGAUCCGUAACUGGUCUGAGGGGAUGAUCAGUCACACUGGACCUGAGACACGGUCCAGACUCCUACGGCAGGCAGCAGUGGGGAAUAUUGGCCAAUGGGAGCAAGCCUGAUCCAGCCAUGACGCGUGUGUGCAGAAGGUCUUCGGAUUGUAAAGAACUUUAAGUUGGGCGGAAGGGAAGUAAGUUACUAACUUGAUGUUUUGACGUUAACAACAGAAUAAGGCCCGGCUAACUUAGUG
rnacentral:rRNA from 1 species